AAUAAGGAGAGAUUAAGAAAAAGCCUAUUAAACAUCAAAAUAAGAUGAUUUUACAAAUUAAGCACCAAAACAUCAUGUUAUACAACAAAUUUGACAGAAAAAGCAGUUCAAUUCACAGUAAUGCUAUGUUGUAAUUACAGUGGAGUCUCACUUAUCCAACAUAAACGGGCCGGCAGAAUGUUGGAUAAGUGAAUAUGUUGGAUAAUAAGGAGAGAUUAAGAAAAAGCCUAUUAAACAUCAAAAUAAGAUGAUUUUACAAAUUAAGCACCAAAACAUCAUGUUAUACAACAAAUUUGACAGAAAAAGCAGUUCAAUUCACAGUAAUGCUAUGUUGUAAUUACAGUAGAGUCUCACUUAUCCAACAUAAACGGGCCGGCAGAAUGUUGGAUAAGUGAAUAUGUUGGAUACUAAGGAGAGAUUAAGAAAAAGCCUAUUAAACAUCAAAAUAAGUUAUGAUUUUACAAAUUAAGCACCAAAACAUCAUGUUAGACAACAAAUUUGACAGAAAAAGUAGUUCAUUACACAUUAAUGCUAUGUAGUAAUUACUGUAUUUACGAAUUUAGCACCAAAAUAUCACGAUGUAUUGAAAACAUUGACUACAAAAAUGUGUUGGAUAAUCCAGAACGUUGGAUAAACGAGUGUUGGAUAAGUGAGAUUCUACUGUAUUUUGAAAUUCUUAGCACAAAAUAAGCAUUGAGAUGAUCGAUAGAUAGAUAGAUAGAUAGAUAGAUAGAUAGAUAGAUAGAUAGAUAGAUAGGAUAUAUGUGUGCAUUUAUAUAUAUAUAGUAUAGUUUAAUAUAAUAUGUAUGUAUGUUUAUUUCAAUGAAUAAAUAUUUUUUUAAUAGCCAUCUUCAUAAAUAAGGGCAAAAGGGUCCCUUCAUAUUUUGAAGUUCUUGGCACAAAAUAAGCAUUGAGAUGAUAGAUAGAUAGAUAGAUAGAUAGAUAGAGAGAGAGAGAGAGAGAGAGAGAGAGAGAGAGAGAGAGAGAGAGAGAGAGAGAGAGAGAGAGAUAGGAUAUAUGUGUGCAUUUAUAUAUAUAGUAUAGUUUAAUAUAAUAUAAACAAACAAUAAUAAUAAUAAUAAUGUGUGCCUGUGAUAGAUAUAUCAUAUCAUAGAAUCCUAGAGUUGGAAGAGACCCCCAAAGGACACAUCCAAGCGCUCCUGACAGAUGGCCAUACAGCCAAAGAUGUGAUAGAUAUGAUUGAGAUAGAUAGAUAUGAUAUAUGUGUGAAUUUAUGUGUAUAGUAUAGUUUCAUACAAUAUAAACAAACAAUCAUAAUAAAAAUAAUAGGUAUAUCAUAUCAUAGAAUCCUAGAGUUGGAAGAGACCCCCAAAGGCCAUCCAGUCUGGCCCCCUUCUGCCGGGCUGGAAGGCACCAUUCAAACCCUCCCAACAGAUGGCCAUACAGCCAAAGACGUGAUAGAUAUGGUUGAGAUAGAUAGAUAUGAUAUAUGUUUGAAUUUAUGUAUGUAGUAUAGUUUAAUACAAUAUAAACAAACAAUAAUAAUCAUGCAUGUGUGUGAUAGAUAUAUCAUAUCAUAGAAUUCUAGAGUUGGAAGAGACCUUCAAAGGCCAUCCAGUCUGACCCCCUUCUACUGGGCUGGAAGGCACCAUUCAAACCCACUCGACAGAUGGCCAUACAGCCAAAGAUGUGAUAGAUAUGGUUGAGAGGUCAUCGGAUCUGACACUGUUAGCUCCAGCUCCUGCCAACCUAGCAGUUCGAAAACAUGCAAAUGUGAGUAGAUAAAUAGGUACCGCUCCGGUGGGGAAGUAAUGGCGCUCCAUGCAGUCCACAUGACCUUGGAGGUGUCUAUGGACAACGCCGGCUUUUCAGCUUAGAAACGGGGAUGAGCACCAACCCCCAGAGUCGGACACGACUAUUUAUUUAUUUACAGUAUUUAUAUUCCGCUCUUCUCAGGGCGGAUCACAAUGUACAUAUAAAAUUUUUGAAAUAACGAAUAUGGACAAAUUAACAUAUCUAUUAUCAAACACCCAAGGCAAGCCAAGAAAACAAACAAAUUGGGAACCAAUCAAAAACUAUUUUAAAAAAAAGAAAAAUGCAAGAUAAUAAUAUGAAAAUGGUUUAGAGAAGAAUGAUUGAAUAAUGGGCCACCCCAGAACAUGUAAAUAAGGAGAAAAUAAGCAAUUAGGUAGACAAGGGCACAAUGGAUAUAAAAAGAUCAAUUUUCAAAGCACCGCACAAUAGAAGGAAGUCAAUUUUAAUGUAAUUGUAUCGUUGAUGUUAUGGUUGAGCCUUCGGGAUCCGGUAAUGAAAGAAGGGGUCGUAAGACUCCUCGAGAGUCAGACACUCUCGAGGAGCGUGAAAGGAAACGGCUCCGGGAUUUGUUUGCAGAGCCGACAGAUGAGGACUCAUUUGAGGGUUUUUCUCAGGGUUUGGAGGAAGAGAUGGCCAGCUCGGAGGAGGAUGAUAUGGAAUGGACUCGUGUGAGGGAGGAUUUGGGUGUUGGGGAAACAGGCAAUGAAAGCAUGGGAGGUGAUUGGCGGGUUGCAGGAUCAGACCCAUGGACUGGCUGGAGGGAUGGAGCGGGAUCCACAGCUGGGGAUGCUGUGGGGCGUAGUCGAAGGUGCUUAAGCUCUGAUGAGGAUGAGGAUGUUGGGGCGUCUGGAAUUGGGAUGGCAGCUGACAGCGAUGAUGAGCUUGAACUGGGAUAAAAUGGGGUUUGGGACCAAUGUCUAAUUGCGUUGGGCAAGGUAAUCUGGACGGACGCUUGGGCUCUUGCUGGGGAAUUUCCUGAAGACGGGUGUGAUUCAUUACUGGAUACCUUGGACCUCCGUCGUCUUUUUGACGGGCAAUAUCUACUUUCACUGGAUUGACGCUGGACUGACUGACUACGAUUCCGGAUUAACCCUUCUGCUGGCUAUCGGUGUGACCUUUGGAUUCCUUGACGACUACGCUUGGCUUUUGAUCUUCUGGACCGGAUUGGGACCCUGCUGACUGCCAUUACCCUAAACCUGAAUCUUGACUACAGCCACGCUCUCGUUCGCUGCAGGAAGGAGUAAACAAGCCUGGUUUACUCCCCUGCUGUUCCUGAGUAGCAGAGAGGAAUCUGCCGCCAGUCUUUUGUUUACAUUCCAACUCCUGUUGAUUCUCUUUUGUUUGCAUUGUUUGCCAAGCUGAAGUAAGCUCUUCGAUUUAAUCCGGAUUAUACUCCUGUUUAACCCGGUUUUUCCCUUUGAACUGUUUAAGCUCAAACUGAGCUGCUUUUUGGUUAUUUAGCACACUGAAGUCAAGUGUUUGCCCUGUUCUUUGUUCCUUACGGGCGUUUUUAGUUCUGUAACCUCAAUAAACUGAGUUUUGUUUUA